rnacentral:tRNA from 1 species
GUUUAAAUAGUUUACAUUAGAAUUUUGGUUUUGUAAUCCAGUGGAAAAAUUUAAGAUUUUUUUAGACU